CUACGGGAGGCUCCAGUGGGGAAUAUUGCACAAUGGGCGCAAGCCUGAUGCAGCCAUGCCGCGUGUAUGAAGAAGGCCUUCGGGUUGUAAAGUACUUUCAGCGGGGAGGAAGGGAGUAAAGUUAAUACCUUUGCUCAUUGACGUUACCCGCAGAAGAAGCACCGGCUAACUCCGUGCCAGCAGCCGCGGUAAUACGGAGGGUGCAAGCGUUAAUCGGAAUUACUGGGCGUAAAGCGCACGCCGGCGGUUUGUUAAGUCAGAUGUGAAAUCCCAGGGCUCAACCUGGGAACUGCAUCUGAUACUGGCAAGCUUGAGUCUCGUAGAGGGGGGUAGAAUUCCAGGUGUAGCGGUGAAAUGCGUAGAGAUCUGGAGGAAUACCGGUGGCGAAGGCGGCCCCCUGGACGAAGACUGACGCUCAGGUGCGAAAGCGUGGGGAGCAAACAGGAUUAGAUACCCCAGUAGUC
rnacentral:rRNA from 1 species